GCUUACGGCCAUACCACCCUGACACGCCCGAUCUCGGAAGCUAAGCAGGGUCGGGCCUGGUUAGUACUUGGAUGGGAGACCGCCUGGGAAUACCAGGUGCUGUAAGCU
rnacentral:rRNA from 1 species